GUGGUUAUUCUCGGGCGGCCCGGUAGUCCAGUGGUUAGCACGUCGGCUUCACAGUGCAGAGGUACCGGGUUCGAUUCCAGCUCCGGCCUCCCUGUGUGGAGUUUGCAUGUUCUCCCCGGGCCUGCGUGGGUUUUCUCCGGGUGCUCCGGUUUCCUCCCACAUUCCAAAAACAUGCAUGGCAGGCUGUUUGAACACUCUAAAUUGUCCCUAGGUGUGAGUGUGAGCGUGGAUGGUUGUUCGUCUAUGUGUGCCCUGCGAUUGGCUGGCAACCGAUUCAGGGUGUCCCCCGCCUACUGCCCGGAGACGGCUGGGAUGGGCUCCAGCACCCCCCGCGACCCUAGUGAGGAUCAAGCGGUACGGAAGAUGAAUG